rnacentral:rRNA from 1 species
GAUGUACGCUGGCGGCGUGCCUAAUACAUGCAAGUCGAGCGAACAGACGAGGAGCUUGCUCCACUGACGUUAGCGGCGGACGGGUGAGUAACACGUGGAUAACCUACCUAUAAGACUGGGAUAACUUCGGGAAACCGGAGCUAAUACCGGAUAAUAUAUUGAACCGCAUGGUUCAAUAGUGAAAGACGGUUUUGCUGUAACUUAUAGAUGGAUCCGCGCCGCAUUAGCUAGUUGGUAAGGUAACGGCUUACCAAGGCAACGAUGCGUAGCCGACCUGAGAGGGUGAUCGGCCACACUGGAACUGAGACGCGGUCCAGACUCCUACGGGAGGCAGCAGUAGGGAAGCUUCCGCAAUGGGCGAAAGCCUGACGGAGCAACGCCGCGUGAGUGAUGAAGGUCUUCGGAUCGUAAAACUCUGUUAUUAGGGAAGAACAAAUGUGUAAGUAACUAUGCACGUCUUGACGGUACCUAAUCAGAAAGCCACGGCUAACUACGUG